AAAAUUUAAGAGAAAGUGUGAAAAUCCAAGGAAUUAAGCAAGGUGGUGAGCCAUUGGAUACGGGUAAAGGACUUUACCCGCGGACUGGAAAUAGGAGUAUUUAUACUCCUAAUACUGUCUGGUGGCAUAUUAAACGGUCACUGCAGUGGUGGGGGUUU